rnacentral:rRNA from 1 species
CACGUAGGGCGCAAGCGUUGUCCGGAAUUAUUGGGCGUAAUGAGCUCGUAGGCGGUCUGUUGCGUCCGCUGUGAAAACUCGGGGCUUAACCCCGAGCCUGCAGUGGAUACGGGCAGACUAGAGGUAGGUAGGGGAGAAUGGAAUUCCCGGUGUAGCGGUGAAAUGCGCAGAUAUCGGGAGGAACACCGGUGGCGAAGGCGGUUCUCUGGGCCUUACCUGACGCUGAGGAGCGAAAGCGUGGGGAGCGAACAGG